rnacentral:rRNA from 1 species
GAUCCUACGGGGAGGCAGCAGUGGGGGAUAUUGCACAAUGGGGGGAACCCUGAUGCAGCGACGCCGCGUGGGUGAAGAAGCGCCUCGGAUCGUAAACCUCUGUCAGCAGGGAAGAACGGUCACUGUGCUAAUCAGCAGUGAAUUGACGGUACCUGCAAAGGAAGCACCGGCUAACUCCGUGCCAGCAGCCGCGGUAAUACGGAGGGUGCGAGCGUUAAUCGGAAUUACUGGGCGUAAAGCGCUCGUAGGCGGUAUGUCAAGUCAAGGGUGAAAUCCCCGCGCUCAACGUGGGAACUGCCUUUGAA